rnacentral:rRNA from 1 species
UACGAAGGGGGCUAGCGUUGUUCGGAUUUACUGGGCGUAAAGGGCGCGUAGGCGGGCUGAUCAGUCAGGGGUGAAAUCCCAAGGCUCAACCUUGGAACUGCCUUUGAUACUGUCGGUCUUGAGUUCGAGAGAGGUAAGUGGAACUGCGAGUGUAGAGGUGAAAUUCGUAGAUAUUCGGAGGAACACCAGUGGCGAAGGCGGCUCACUGGCUCGAUACUGACGCUGAGGUGCGAAAGCGUGGGGAGCAAACAGG